rnacentral:rRNA from 1 species
UACGUAGGGACCAAGCGUUGUUCGGAUUUACUGGGCGUAAAGGGCGCGUAGGCGGCAAAUUAAGUCAGCUGUGAAAUCUCCGAGCUUAACUCGGAACUGUCAGCUGAUACUGAUGUGCUAGAGUGCGGAAGGGGCAAUCGGAAUUCUUGGUGUAGCGGUGAAAUGCGUAGAUAUCAAGAGGAACACCUGAGGUGAAGACGGGUUGCUGGGCUGACACUGACGCUGAUGCGCGAAAGCCAGGGAGCGAACGGG